AGCAGUGUGGCCUAGUGGAAAGAGCACUGGCCUGGGAGCCAGAGGACCUGGGUUCUAAUCCCAGCUCUGCCA
rnacentral:tRNA from 1 species